UACGGAGGGUGCAAGCGUUAUCCGGAUUUACUGGGUUUAAAGGGUGCGUAGGUGGGUAGGUAAGUCAGUGGUGAAAUCUUCGAGCUUAACUCGGAAACUGCCAUUGAUACUAUUUAUCUUGAAUACUUUGGAGGUAAGCGGAAUAUGCCAUGUAGCGGUGAAAUGCUUAGAUAUGACAUAGAACACCAAUUGCGAAGGCAGCUUACUACACAGUUAUUGACACUGAGGCACGAAAAGCGUGGGGAUCAAACAGG
rnacentral:rRNA from 1 species